rnacentral:rRNA from 1 species
UAUCAGUACAAGCCUUAACAAGGUGAAACCGCGAACGGCUCAUUACAACAGCUAUAAUUUACUCGAUCUUGAACCCACUACAAGGAUAACUGUGGUAAUUCUAGAGCUAAUACUUGCACCGAAGCUGUCCCUUACGGGGCAGUGCAUUUAUUGGAGCAAAACCAGGCGGCUUCGGCCGUUACUGCUGACUCAGAAUAACUAAGCUGACCGCAUGGGCUUGUCCCGGCGGCGUGUCGUUCAAGUGUCUGCCUUAUCAACUUUCGAUGGUAGUGUACGUGACUACCAUGGUUGUGACGGGUAACGGAGGAUCAGGGUUCGACUCCGGAGAAGGCGCCUGAGAAAUGGCGACUACGUCUAAGGAUGGCAGCAGGCGCGCAAAUUACCCACUCUCGGUUCGAGGAGGUAGUGACGAAAAAUAACAAGGCCGUUCUCUUUGAGGCCGGCCAUUGGAAUGGGUACAACACAAACCCUUUAACGAGUAUCAAUGAGAGGGCAAGUCUGGUGCCAGCAGCCGCGGUAAUUCCAGCUCUCAAAAUGCAUAGAACCAUUGCUGCGGUUAAAAAGCUCGUAGUUGGAUCUGUGCCGGCGCUGUGGUCCACCCUGACGGGCGGUACUACUGCGUCGGCUUUGGGCCGGUCUUCGGCCGGUAGCCUUCACCGGUUGCCGUCCGUGGCUGGCUGGUUUACUUUGAGCAAAUCAGAGUGCUCAGCACAGGCGUCUUGCCGGUAUGUUCGUGCAUGGAAUAAUAGAACAGGAUCACGGUCCUCUUUUAUUGGUUUUGUGGACUGAGAUAAUGGUUAACAGAGACGAACGGGGGCAUUCGUAUUGCUGCGUGAGAGGUGAAAUUCUUGGACCGCAGCAGGACGGACUACAGCGAAAGCAUUUGCCAAGCGCGUCUUCAUUAAUCAAGAACGAAAGUCAGAGGUUCGAAGGCGAUCAGAUACCGCCCUAGUUCUGACCGUAAACGAUGCCAACUAGCGAUCCGCCGGCGGCUCCAAGGCCCUGGUGGGGAGCUUCCCGGAAACGAAAGUCUUCCGGUUCCGGGGGAAGUAUGGUUGCAAAGCUGAAACUUAAAGGAAUUGACGGAAGGGCACCACCAGGAGUGGAGCCUGCGGCUUAAUUUGACUCAACACGGGAAAACUCACCCGGCCCGGACACCGUGAGGAUUGACAGAUUGAUAGCUUUUUCAUGAUUCGGUGGUUGGUGGUGCAUGGCCGUUCUUAGUUCGUGGAUCGAUUUGUCUGGUUUAUUCCGAUAACGAGCGAGACUCCAGCCUACUAAAUAGUGCGGGCAUUGCUAUUGUGCCAUGCACUUCUUAGAGGGAUUGGCUGCGUCUAGCGGCACGAAACGGAGCAAUAACAGGUCUGUGAUGCCCUUAGAUGUCCGGGGCUGCACGCGCGCUACACUGGCAAAGGCAGCGUGCUUGUCCGUCUCCGAAAGGAGCCGGUAAACCCUUGAAAAUUUGCCGUGAUUGGGAUCGGAAAUUGCAAUUAUUUUCCGUGAACGAGGAAUUCCUAGUAAGUGCGAGUCAUCAGCUCGCGUUGAUUACGUCCCUGCCCUUUGUACACACCGCCCGUCGCUGCCUAGAACUGAGCCAUUUCGAGAAUAUUCGGGAUCGCCGGUUGUGUCGUCCUUCGGGGCGCGCCUCUGGCCUGAGAACGAACGUAAUCGCAGUGGCUUGAACCGGGCAAAAGU